rnacentral:misc_RNA from 1 species
UUUCCGUAGGUGAACCCGCGGAAGGAUCAUUCAUAAUAAAGUGUUUUAUGGCACUUUUUAAAAAUCCAUAUCCACCUAGUGUGCAAUGUUAGAUCUCGUCAAUCUUGGCGAGAUUUUUAUACAUCAACUCAUUCUUUAACUAAUUUGUCUGAAAAAUAUUAUGAAUACUUAAUUCAAAAUACAACUUUCAACAACGGAUCUCUUGGCUCUC